rnacentral:lncRNA from 1 species
AUCUUUGAGCCAUGAUAAUGUUACUGGUUGGAUGUCAGGAGCAGGCCAUGUGGAUGAUUAAAAGAUGAAUAUCAUAUACAGCAUGGAUAUGUUGGACAAAAAGAUGAUUCACAUCCCAGACAGAAUGGAGCAGCACAUUUAUUAAAAGCCAGAAGCUAGAAGACGAGGAAAGAAGAGGUGGUUAAAGAAAGAUACAGUAACAGCAGUAAUAUCUAACAGGAAGGCUACAGGGGAAAAUACAGAAAUUCCAUAAAGAACAA